rnacentral:rRNA from 1 species
UACGUAGGGUGCGAGCGUUGUCCGGAAUUAUUGGGCGUAAAGAGCUUGUAGGCGGUUUGUCGCGUCUGCCGUGAAAAUUCGAGGCUCAACCUCGAACUUGCGGUGGGUACGGGCAGACUAGAGUGUGGUAGGGGAGACUGGAAUUCCUGGUGUAGCGGUGAAAUGCGCAGAUAUCAGGAGGAACACCGGUGGCGAAGGCAGGUCUCUGGGCCACUACUGACGCUGAGAAGCGAAAGCAUGGGGGAGCGAACAGG